rnacentral:rRNA from 1 species
AUUGAACGCUGGCGGCAGGCCUAACACAUGCAAGUCGAACGAGUGGCGGACGGGUGAGUAAUGUCUUGGAAACUGCCUGAUGGAGGGGGAUAACUACUGGAAACGGUAGCUAAUACCGCAUACCAUCAGAUGUGCCCAGAUGGGAUUAGCUAGUUGGUGGGGUAACGGCUCACCAAGGCGACGAUCCCUAGCUGGUCUGAGAGGAUGACAGGCCACACUGGAACGGAGACACGGGCCAGACUCCUACGGGAGGCAGCAGUGGGGAAUAUUGCACAAUGGGCGAAAGCAUGAUGCAGCGAUGCAGCGUGUAUGAAGAAGGCCUUCGGGUUGUAAAGUACUUUCAGCGGGGAGGCGGUACCCGCAGAAGAAGCACCGGCUAACUCCGUGCCAGCAGCCGCGGUAAUAC